ACUGCUCAGUAACACGUAGUCAACAUGCCCAGGGGACGUGGAUAACCUCGGGAAACUGAGGAUAAACCGCGAUAGGCCAUAAUUCCUGGAAUGGUUUAUGACUGAAACCUAUAUGGCCCCUGGAUUGGACUGCGGCCGAUCAGGCUGUUGGUGAGGUAAUGGCCCACCAAACCUGUAACUGGUACGGGCUCUGAGAGGAGAAGCCCGGAGAUGGGCACUGAGACAAGGGCCCAGGCCCUAUGGGGCGCAGCAGGCGCGAAACCUCUGCAAUAGGCGAAAGCCUGACAGGGUUACUCUGAGUGGUUCCCGCUAAGGGGAUCUUUUGGCACCUCUAANAAUGGUGCAGAAUAAGGGGGUGGGCAAGCCUGGUGUCAGCCGCCGCGGUAAUACCAGCACCCCGAGUGGUCGGGACGAUUAU
rnacentral:rRNA from 1 species